rnacentral:ncRNA from 15 species
GUUUAUGAUGAUUAUCCACUUUUCACGACGGUCAGCUGUUAUCCCCGAAAUGUUUAUUUGGGGAUGUUGAUGAUAUUUUGCCUGUGACAGGGCGUGGUACUGAUU